UUUAAGAAUUGAAAGCAAUUAAGGGCACACGGGGGAUGCCUAGGCUCUCAGAGGCGACGAAGGACGUGAUAAGCUGCGAUAAGCCGCGGGUAGGCGCAAAUAACCAUCAAUCCGCGGAUUUCCGAAUGGGGCAACCUAGCUACUUGAAGAGUAGUUACUCCGAGUAAUCGGAGAGCAAACCCAGGGAACUGAAACAUCUAAGUACCUGGAGGAAGAGAAAACAAUAGUGAUUCCCAAAGUAGUGGCGAGCGAACUGGGAAUAGCCCAAACCAUAGCAAUUACGGUUGUUAUGGGGUUGUAGGACUACUGUCCGGGUAACAACGUUUAGCAGAAGUACUUGGAAAAGUACACCAUAGAAGGUGAAAGUCCUGUAAGCGAAAAACAGAUUUAUCCAUGUAGUAUCCUGAGUACCACGGGACCGGAGAAAUCCUGUGGGAAUCUGCCAGCACCAUCUGGUAAGGCUAAAUACUCCUGAGAGACCGAUAGUGAACUAGUACCGUAAGGGAAAGGUGAAAAGUACCUCGAACAGAGGAGUUAAAAGAACCUGAAACCGUGUGCUUACAAGCGGUAGGAGUCCCGACUUGUCGGGAUGACUGCGUGCCUUUUGCAUAAUGAGCCUACGAGUUACUCCUCACUGGCAAGGUUAAUACAAGAAGCCGUAGCGAAAGCGAGUCUGAAUAGGGCGACAAGUCAGUGGGGGUAGACGCGAAACCCGGUGAUCUAUCCAUGAUCAGGUUGAAGUUGCGGUAACACGCAAUGGAGGACCGAACCAGUGUCCGUUGAAAAGGGCUUGGAUGAAUUGUGGAUAGGGGUGAAAGGCCAAUCAAACCGGGAAAUAGCUCGUACUCCCCGAAAUGCUUUUAGGAGCAGCGUUAAACUUAGUCUUGCAGAGGUAGAGCUACCGAUUGGGCUAGGGGGCUUCACCGCCUACCAAACCCUGACGAACUCCGAAUGCUGUAAGAUAUGUUUAGCAGUGAGGCGAUGGGUGCUAAGGUCCUUCGCCGAGAGGGGAACAACCCAGACCAUAAGCUAAGGUCCCUAAAUCUAUGCUAAGUUGAACUAACGUUGUCCAAUUGCUAUGACAGCUAGGAUGUUGGCUUGGAAGCAGCCACUCAUUUAAAGAGUGCGUAACAGCUCACUAGUCGAGUGAUCGGGCGCGGAAAAUAAUCGGGCAUCAAGCAUAGUACCGAAGCUAUGGACGUAUAGUGGUAGGGGAGCAUUCCAAUUGCGCCGAAGGUGUAGCGUGAGCUAUGCUGGAGUUAUUGGAAAAGAAAAUGUAGGCAUAAGUAACGAUAAAAUAGGUGAGAAACCUAUUCGCCAAUAGACUAAGGUUUCCUGAUCAACGCUAAUCGGAUCAGGGUUAGUCGGGUCCUAAGGCAAACCCGAAAGGGGUAGUCGAUGGAAAAUCGGUUAAUAUUCCGAUACCUGCUUAUAAUAAAAGGGGACGGAGUCAUGGAGAACCCGCGUACAGACGGAAUUGUACGUUAAAUCCUUCGGGAGACAGUACCACAAACCUUCGGGCAAGUGGAUAGUAGUUCAAAGUGACUUCCAAGAAAAGCCGAAUAAAGCAGCCCGUACCGUAAACCGACACAGGUAGUCAAGAAGAGAAUUCUAAGGCGCUCGAGUGAUCCGUGGCUAAGGAACUCGGCAAAAUAGUCCUGUAACUUCGGGAGAAAGGACGCCAACUUCGGUUGGCCGCAGUGAAUAGACCCAGGCGACUGUUUAACAAAAACACAGGGCUCUGCUAAAUCGAAAGAUGAUGUAUAGGGCCUGACACCUGCCCGGUGCCGGAAGGUUAAGGGAGUGUGUUAUCCUUCGGGAAAAGCUCACGACUGAAGCCCCGGUAAACGGCGGCCGUAACUAUAACGGUCCUAAGGUAGCGAAAUUCCUUGUCGGGUAAGUUCCGACCUGCACGAAUGGUGUAACGAUCUGGGUACUGUCUCAGCCACGAGCUCGGUGAAAUUGUAGUAUCGGUGAAGAUGCCGGUUACCCGCAAUGGGACGGAAAGACCCCGUGAACCUUCACUACAGCUUAACAUUGGUUUAGGGUAAAUAAUGUGUAGGAUAGGUGGGAGACUUUGAAGCGGCUGCGCCAGUGGUCGUGGAGUCAUCCUUGAAAUACCACCCUUUAUUUACUUUGAGUCUAAUCCCUAACGGGAGACAGUGUUUGGUGGGUAGUUUGACUGGGGUGGUCGCCUCCAAAAGAGUAACGGAGGCUUCCAAAGGUACCCUCAACACGGUUGGUAAUCGUGUGUAGAGUGCAAUGGCAUAAGGGUGCUUGACUGCAAGACCUACAAGUCGAGCAGGGACGAAAGUCGGGCAUAGUGAUCCGGCGGUUCCGCAUGGAAGGGCCGUCGCUCACAGGAUAAAAGGUACUCCGGGGAUAACAGGCUGAUCUCCCCCAAGAGCUCACAUCGACGGGGAGGUUUGGCACCUCGAUGUCGGCUCGUCACAUCCUGGGGCUGGAGAAGGUCCCAAGGGUUGGGCUGUUCGCCCAUUAAAGUGGCACGCGAGCUGGGUUCAGAACGUCG
rnacentral:rRNA from 1 species